UAUAAAUGUCUGAAGCUUUACGUCAUUUCAGGAAACGCCCAAGCCGAGUUUUAUUCGAAACAUGUAAGGUUCGACGUUUGAAAUAGGCCUCAUAGUAGUAAGGUUAAAAAUAUCCUAAAAAUACAGAUUGUAUACAUGCAAACUAUAAUCACAACGUAUUAUAGACGUGUUAUGACACAUACCAAUGACGUUGGACAUACAUACACAAAGGUUCACCGUUUGGCCCAACGCCGAACGGGUUAAGAUGGGUUAGGAUGAAUGUUAUAGGGUGUUAUUAAGAGAUUUCCAUACAGGAGGCCAGGUUUAUUUAAAAUUCAAUUUGCAAGGUAAAUGGAAAAGAAAAGAAGUUGCUCAUUUUUAGAAAAUGUUUUUACUUGACGGCAUGACAUACUUUCCUUAUUUUCACACUAAAGGAGCAGUGAUCAUUAAGGG